rnacentral:rRNA from 1 species
AGUGGCUCUCAUAUCACCUUAGCUCUGACCUUAUCAGAUUUCAUAAAUUAAGCAGGGCUGGGCUGUCUAAGCACUAUGAUGUGAAAAAUGCCAGGAAACUGCAGACAGUAAUGGCGGCAA